CACACUGGUAUUUGCGCCAUCGUGCGAAGGCUUCUUAUUGAAGCUCAUGUGAUUAGAUGGCAAUCUGCUGGCUGGUCUGCAAGCUUAGCAGCGACUCCCAUCAAUUACAAAAAUGGCAGGGAAGAACCACUGCCAGCAAAAUGCCUACAGAGCUGUCCUGUUAAACAGAUCGCCGGUGCAGCAGUCACAUACACAGUCGUUCUGGUUCAAACUAAUGAGAGCAUGGGAAACACGUGCCUAAAAUUGUAAUCGGCCCAGCUGCACUGAAGAAGCAGUCACGGGCAUCCACAAGUGACAACUCAAAGGGCCAACUACUGAAAUGUGAUGAAUUGACAUCCUUUCAUACCUCAGCAAUGAAUUAAGAAGAACCAACAGAGCUCACCAUGCUAUGUGCACGAAAUAAACUACUCUUGCAUUGC